GCACCACACAAGACGGACAAAGCGCCAGGUCUCUCUCCUCGUAUAUAUAUAUAUAUGGAGGCUGACCAUCGAUCGAUCGAUAUCUAUCCAUCGCUUCCUACUUUCGGCGCCGACGCACGCACGCGCGCGCGCCUGCUUAUCUCCCUGCCGAGACUAGCCGCCUACCUAGGGCAGUUCGCACAGCCCAUCAGCGCCGGCGCCGGCGCCGGCUCCGGCUCCGGCGGCGCGGACGGCCGAACCCGCCGCAAGCGAGCAAGGAAAUCCGACAUCUCGAUGAUCCUCGGAAAUGGUGUUCCUGAUGCCCCAGCCCCUCCACCACCCCGUGCACUGGCCCUCGACUCAAGGCCUGUGCUAGGUCCUAGGGAGUCCUAGGGAUUUCCAGAAUAAAUGGAGCCAACUAGCAUUAUCUUUUUCUCAGGAAUGCUCUUUAACUCCCCAGGGGGCGGCUUCUUUGACGAAUCACCGAUCGUUCAUUCGUCAUAUGCAAAGCAACUACAUCCAAUGCGUUGCUUCAGGCGGUCAGCCUCCAAACCGCAAGUUCUCUUUUUAUGGUCAGAAAGCUGGGGCUGAUGCUUUCUACCUUGUAGAAUGCAAUGUGAACCCAGCAUCAUCCGAAGCCCAGCUCAAAAUUAAGGCCGACGAUGGGGCUACUGCGGAGGCCUUUUCUACUUUGUUUCAAUCAGUGUUGUCUGAAUUUGGGCUUUCUUGAUCAUGAGGACUAAUUUUCUUCAGGGUUAUAGUGGUUUAGAUGGUGUGUAACCUUGUUACUCGAGUGGACAUGAAUAUCACCUCUGUUGAUGUGGAGAGAAUAGAUGUACAUCUGUAGUAAUUUAUUUGCGGGGAGCAAUAAAGCAAGAGUAUAGUUGACUUGUUCA